ensembl:snoRNA LOC120095777 small nucleolar RNA SNORD19B
AAAUAGGAGGAGUACACAAAAUGCUGAUCCAAGUGAAAAACAGUAAGAUCCAACUCUGGUUUCAUCUAAAG